rnacentral:lncRNA from 1 species
AUUUUUUGGGCGAAUUAUUCGCGAAUCGCGAAUAAUUCGCGAAUAAUUAUUUUUGAGAAAAAAAUCGUAUUUUUUUUCUAAUUUUUUGAAAAAAUACGGGACGCCCCGUUUAAUUCGUAUUUUUAAAAGUACGCGAAUUAUUCGUGUAUUAAUCGCGAAUUAACUAACUAGGGUUUUUACUUGGACGAAAAAAAAGUGAAAAAUGGAGACAUAUUUGGACUUCGUUUGGGAUUGCGGAGAAAUUGCAUUACGUGCGGUGAGAAACGGCGACGAUAGAAAAAUAUUAUGUUUUCUUUUAUAUUGCGUUCUGCAUAUUGCUGUUAGUCGGUUACGAUAUAGUUUUUACAGUUCCAUCAGAAAACGCAAAAGGAUACAGAUUGAUCUCAAUACCUUAGGCUAGUUUGGUAUUGAGGCCUAUCUAACGCUAUUAGAUAAAAUGGAGUUGUUGAAAAAGCAUAUAGGGAUAUACUUCUGCGUUCUCCGGUGGGACCUCAGAAAAUAUAUCGUAACCGACUAAUCACGGAACGUAAUAUUAUGUACGGACCCGCAAUCCCAAACGAAGCCUUAGUCAUUUUACUAGUUUUUUAAAUACUAGAAUCCGAUAAGAUAUUUUGAGGGCGGUUAAGUACACAUUUUUUAUAGGGGUUAUUUAUAUUUUAGCCAAUAAAUUAUAUAAAUAUUUUAAUUAUCUCCCUUCAAAAAAUAAUCUUGUAAUAGUUU